rnacentral:rRNA from 1 species
GACGAACGCUGGCGGCGUGCCUAAUGCAUGCAAGUCGAGCGACGCAUGCCCUGACCGUAAGGUCGGGGUAUGACGGAGCGGCGAACGGGUGAGUAACACGUGAGUAACCUGCCCCGAAGACCGGGAUAGCCCCGGGGGAAAAUCCCCGGAUUAAUACCGGAUACCUUCGUCAGAUCGCAUGGUCAGACGAAGAAAGGCCUUUGUGCUUCGGGAUGGACUCGCGGCCUAUCAGCUAGUUGGCGGGGUAACGGCCCACCAAGGCGUCGACGGGUAGCUGGUCUGAGAGGACGAUCAGCCACACUGGGACUGAGACACGGCCCCAGACUCCUACGGGAGGCAGCAGCAGGGAAUAUUGCGCAAUGGGCGAAAGCCUGACGCAGCAACGCCGCGUGGGGAUGAAGCCUCGGGUUGUAAACCCUUCGGGAGGGAAGAAAUUGACGGUACCUCCUAAAGAAGCCCCGGCCAACUACGUGCCAGCAGCCGCGGUAAUACGUAGGGGCGAGCGUUGUCCGGAAUCAUUGGGCGUAAAAGAGCUCGUAGGCGGCUCAGUAAGUCGGCUGUGAAAGCCCGAGGCUCAACCUCGGAACUGCAGUCGAUACUGCUGUGGCUAGAGUCCGGUAGAGGAGAGUGGAAUUCCCGGUGUAGCGGU